rnacentral:rRNA from 1 species
UUCCGGUUGAUCCUGCCGGAGGCUGUUGCUAUCGGGGUCCGAUUUAGCCAUGCUAGUCGCACGGGUUUAGACCCGUGGCGAAUAGCUCCGUAACACGUGGUCAAACUACCCUCUGGAUCAGAACACCCUCGGGAAACUGAGGCUAAUUCUGAAUACGACUUUCACGCUGGAAUUGCCGAAAGUCCGAAACGGUCCGCCGCCGGAGGACGUGACUGCGGCCGAUUAGGUAGACGGUGGGGUAAUGGCCCACCGUGCCGAUAAUCGGUACGGGUUGUGAGAGCAAGAACCCGGAGACGGAAUCUGAGACAAGAUUCCGGGCCCUACGGGGCGCAGCAGGCGCGAAACCUUUACACUGCACGACAGUGCGAUAAGGGGACCCCGAGUGCGAGGGCAUACAGUCCUCGCUUUUCGUGACCGUAAGGAGGUCUCAGAAUAAGAGCUGGGCAAGACCGGUGCCAGCCGCCGCGGUAAUACCGGCAGCUCGAGUGAUAGCCACUAUUAUUGGGCCUAAAGCGUCCGUAGCCGGCCGAACGGGUCCGUCGGGAAAUCCACCCGCUCAACGGGUGGACGUCCGGCGGAAACUAGUCGGCUUGGGGCCGGAAGACCUGCGGGGUACGUCCGGGGUAGGAGUGAAAUCCUGUAAUCCUGGACGGACCACCGGUGGCGAAAGCGCCGCAGGAAGACGGACCCGACGGUGAGGGACGAAAGCUAGGGUCUCGAACCGGAUUAGAUACCCGGGUAGUCCUAGCCGUAAACGAUGCUCGCUAGGUGUGGCGCAGGCUACGAGCCUGCGCUGUGCCGUAGGGAAGCCGAAAAGCGAGCCGCCUGGGAAGUACGUCCGCAAGGAUGAAACUUAAAGGAAUUGGCGGGGGAGCACUACAACCGGAGGAGCCUGCGGUUUAAUUGGACUCAACGCCGGA